AUCACUUCUCAGCCUUUUGGCUAUGAUCAAGUGUAGUAUCUGUUCUUAUCAGUUUAAUGUGUGCCAUUCUUGCCAAUUUAUUUAAAGAUUACCAAUCAGGUAACAGGAACAUUU
rnacentral:snRNA from 1 species